rnacentral:rRNA from 1 species
AUUGAACGCUGGCGGCAGGCCUAACACAUGCAAGUCGAACGAGUGGCGGACGGGUGAGUAAUGUCUGGGAAACUGCCCGUUGGAGGGGGAUAACUACUGGAAACGGUAGCGAAUACCGCAUACCAUCGGAUUGGCCCAGAUGGGAUUAGCUAGUAGGUGGGGGAACGGCUCACCUAGGCGACGAUCCCUAGCUGGUCUGAGCGGAUGAACAGCCACACUGGAACUGAGACACGGUCCAGACUCCUACGGGAGGCAGCAGUGGGGAAUAUUGCACAAUGGGCGCAAGCCUGAUGCAGCCAUGCCGCGUGUAUGAAGAAGGCCUUCGGGUUGUAAAGUACUUUCAGCGAGGAGGCGUUACUCGCAGAAGAAGCACCGGCUAACUCCGUGCCAGCAGCCGCGGUAAUUC